UACGGGGGGUGCGAGCGUUAAUCGGAAUAACUGGGCGUAAAGGGCACGCAGGCGGACAUUUAAGUGAGGUGUGAAAUCCCCUGGCUUAAUCUGGUAAUUGCAUUUCAUACUGGGAGUCUAGAGUACGUUAGGGAGGGGUAGAAUUCCACGUGUAGCGGUGAAAUGCGUAGAGAUGUGGAGGAAUACCGAAGGCGAAGGCAGCCCCUCGGGAAUGUACUGACGCUCAGGUGCGAAAGCGUGGGGAGCAAACAGG
rnacentral:rRNA from 1 species